rfam:Candidatus Buchananbacteria bacterium RIFCSPHIGHO2_01_FTLL_44_11 rifcsphigho2_01_scaffold_1105, whole genome shotgun sequence.
GCCAGGGUAGCUCAGUGGUAGAGCAACACUUUUGUAAAGUGAAGGUCGUGGGUUCGAAUCCCUCUCCUGGCU